UACAGAGGGUGCGAGCGUUAAUCGGAAUUACUGGGCGUAAAGCGUGCGUAGACGGUUAUGUAAGUCGGAUGUGAAAGCCCCGGGCUCAACCUGGGAAUUGCAUUCGAGACUGCAUAGCUAGGAUGCGGAAGAGGGAAGUGGAAUUUCCGGUGUAGCGGUGAAAUGCGUAGAUAUCGGAAGGAACAUCAGUGGCAGAAGGCGGCUCGUCUGGGACGGUACUGACGCUGAGACGCGAAAAGCGUGGGGAGCCGAACAGG
rnacentral:rRNA from 1 species